AUGGUGAUUGCCCGACUCAUCCCAAUAUUCCCUUUUUCCCUCCUCACAGGGCUGCGGGCGGCCGUGACCCUGGUGGAGUCCGGGGGCACCUCAAGGCCCCGGGGGAGUCCCUGCGGCUCCUCUGCCGCGCCUCCGGCUUGACCUUCGGCAGCUACCCCAUGUACUGGGUGCGCCAGAGCCCCGGGAAGGGGCUGGAAUAUGUUGCUGGGAUCAACAGCAAUGGUGGCAGCACCUGGUACGCGCCGUCGGUGAAGGGCCGGUUCAGCAUCCCCAGGGACAACGGGCAGAGCUCGGUGACGCUGCAGAUGAACAACCUC